rnacentral:snRNA from 1 species
GAUUUGCAUUGGCAACACGUAUAUUUAAAUUGGGAUGAAACAGAGAUUAGUGUGGCCAUUCUACAAGGGUGACACAUAAAUUCGCAAAGUACUCUAUAUUUAA